AUUGAACGCUGGCGGCAGGCCUAACACAUGCAAGUCGAGCGGAUGAAGGGAGCUUGCUCCUGGAUUCAGCGGCGGACGGGUGUGUAAUGCCUAGGAAUCUUCCUGGUAGUGGGGGAUAACGUCCGGAAACGGGCGCUAAUACCGCAUACGUCCUGAGGGAGAAAGAGGGGGAACUUCGGACCUCACGCUAUCAGAUGAGCCUAGGUCGGAUGAGCUAGUUGGCGGGGUAAAGGCCUACCAAGGCGACGAUCCGUAACUGGUCUGAGAGGAUGAUCAGUCACACGGGAACUGAGAGACGGUCCAGACUCCUACGGGAGGCAGCAGUGGGGAAUAUUGGACAAUGGGCGAAAGCCUGAUCCAGCCAUGCCGCGGGUGUGAAGAAGGUCUUCGGAUUGUAAAGCACUUUAAGUUGGGAGGAAGGGAAGUAAGUUAAGAACUGGCUGUUUUGACGUUACCAACAGAAGAAGCACCGGCUAACUUCGUG
rnacentral:rRNA from 1 species